ensembl:misc_RNA Metazoa_SRP Metazoan signal recognition particle RNA
GCCGGGUGUGGUGGCGCGCGCCUGUAAUCCCAGCUACUCAGGAGGCUGAGGCAGGAGAAUCGCUUGAACUCUGGAGGCAGAGGUUGCAGUGAGCCGAGAUCGCACCACUGCACUCCAGCCUGGGUGACAGAGCCAGACUCUGUCUCAA